rnacentral:rRNA from 1 species
CCUACGGGAGGCAGCAGUGAGGAAUAUUGGUCAAUGGCCGGAAGGCUGAACCAGCCAUGCCGCGUGAAGGUCAGUGCCCUAUGGGCGUUAAACUUCUUUUGUGCGGGAGCAAUAAUGGUCACGUGUGGCCAGACGAGAGUACCGUACGAAUAAGCAUCGGCUAACUCCGUGCCAGCAGCCGGUGUAAUACGGGGGGUGCCAGCGUUAUACGGAUUUAUUGGGUUUAAAGGGUGCGUAGGCUGGUAGGUAAGUCAGCGGUGAAAUGCCCCCGCUCAACGGGGUGAAGUGCCAUUGAUACUGCCGUGCUUGAAUGCGUAUGCAGCGGGAGGAAUGUGUGGUGUAGCGGUGAAAUGCAUAGAUAUCACACAGAACACCGAUUGCGAAGGCAUCUCACGAAUCCGCGAUUGACGCUGAUGCACGAAAGCGUGGGUAUCAAACAGGAUUAGAUACCCUGGUAGUC